rnacentral:rRNA from 1 species
UCGAGAAUCUUCGGCAAUGGGCGCAAGCCUGACCGAGCGACGCCGCGUGCGGGAUGAAGGCCUUCGGGUUGUAAACCGCUGUCAGAGGGAAACAAAUGUUCAGGGGUUCUCCCCUGGAUUUGAGUGAACCUCAGAGGAAGCGCAGGCUAAGUUCGUGCCAGCAGCCGCGGUAAGACGAACUGCGCGAACGUUAUUCGGAAUCACUGGGCUUAAAGGGUGCGUAGGCGGCCUAGCAGGUCGGGUGUGAAAUCCCUCGGCUCAACCGAGGAAUGGCGCCCGAAACCGCUGGGCUGGAGGAAGACAGAGGUGCGCGGAACUGAUGGUGGAGCGGUGAAAUGCGUUGAGAUCAUCAGGAACACCGGUGGCGAAAGCGGCGCACUGGGUCUUUUCUGACGCUGAGGCACGAAAGCUAGGGGAGCGAACGGGAUUAGAUACCCCCGUAGUCC